UGCCUUUUGUAGAAUGAACCGGCGAGUUACGAUCUGAUGCAAGGUUAAGCAGCAAAUGUGGAGCCGCAGCGAAAGCGAGUCUGAAUAGGGCGUUGAGUAUUUGGUCGUAGACCCGAAACCAGGUGAUCUACCCUUGGUCAGGUUGAAGUUCAGGUAACACUGAAUGGAGGACCGAACCGACUUACGUUGAAAAGUGAGCGGAUGAACUGAGGGUAGCGGAGAAAUUCCAAUCGAACUUGGAGAUAGCUGGUUCUCUCCGAAAUAGCUUUAGGGCUAGCCUCAAGUGAUGAUUAUUGGAGGUAGAGCACUGUUUGGACGAGGGGCCCCUCUCGGGUUACCGAAUUCAGACAAACUCCGAAUGCCAAUUAAUUUAACUUGGGAGUCAGAACAUGGGUGAUAAGGUCCGUGUUCGAAAGGGAAACAGCCCAGACCACCAGCUAAGGUCCCAAAAUAUAUGUUAAGUGGAAAAGGAUGUGGCGUUGCCCAGACAACUAGGAUGUUGGCUUAGAAGCAGCCAUCAUUUAAAGAGUGCGUAAUAGCUCACUAGUCGAGUGACACUGCGCCGAAAAUGUACCGGGGCUAAACAUAUUACCGAAGCUGUGGAUUGUCCUUUGGACAAUGGUAGGAGAGCGUUCUAAGGGCGUCGAAGCAUGAUCGCAAGGACAUGUGGAGCGCUUAGAAGUGAGAAUGCCGGUGUGAGUAGCGAAAGACGGGUGAGAAUCCCGUCCACCGAUUGACUAAGGUUUCCAGAGGAAGGCUCGUCCGCUCUGGGUUAGUCGGGUCCUAAGCUGAGGCCGACAGGCGUAGGCGAUGGAUAACAGGUUGAUAUUCCUGUACCACCUAGUAUCGUUUUAAUCGAUGGGGGGACGCAGUAGGAUAGGCGAAGCGUGCUGUUGGAGUGCACGUCCAAGCAGUAAGGCUGAGUGUUAGGCAAAUCCGGCACUCAUAAGGCUGAGCUGUGAUGGGGAGAGGAAAUUGUUUCCUCGAGUCGUUGAUUUCACACUGCCGAGAAAAGCCUCUAGAUAGAUAACAGGUGCCCGUACCGCAAACCGACACAGGUAGUCAAGAUGAGAAUUCUAAGGUGAGCGAGCGAACUCUCGUUAAGGAACUCGGCAAAAUGACCCCGUAACUUCGGGAGAAGGGGUGCUCUUUAGGGUUCACGCCCAGAAGAGCCGCAGUGAAUAGGCCCAAGCGACUGUUUAUCAAAAACACAGGUCUCUGCUAAACCGUAAGGUGAUGUAUAGGGGCUGACGCCUGCCCGGUGCUGGAAGGUUAAGAGGAGUGGUUAGCUUCUGCGAAGCUACGAAUCGAAGCCCCAGUAAACGGCGGCCGUAACUAUAACGGUCCUAAGGUAGCGAAAUUCCUUGUCGGGUAAGUUCCGACCCGCACGAAAGGCGUAACGAUUUGGGCACUGUCUCAACGAGAGACUCGGUGAAAUCAUAGUACCUGUGAAGAUGCAGGUUACCCGCGACAGGACGGAAAGACCCCGUGGAGCUUUACUGUAGCCUGAUAUUGAAAUUCGGCACAGCUUGUACAGGAUAGGUAGGAGCCUUUGAAACGUGAGCGCUAGCUUACGUGGAGGCGUUGGUGGGAUACUACCCUAGCUGUGUUGGCUUUCUAACCCGCACCACUUAUCGUGGUGGGAGACAGUGUCAGGCGGGCAGUUUGACUGGGGCGGUCGCCUCCUAAAAGGUAACGGAGGCGCUCAAAGGUUCCCUCAGAAUGGUUGGAAAUCAUUCAUAGAGUGUAAAGGCAUAAGGGAGCUUGACUGCGAGACCUACAAGUCGAGCAGGGUCGAAAGACGGACUUAGUGAUCCGGUGGUUCCGCAUGGAAGGGCCAUCGCUCAACGGAUAAAAGCUACCCCGGGGAUAACAGGCUUAUCUCCCCCAAGAGUUCACAUCGACGGGGAGGUUUGGCACCUCGAUGUCGGCUCAUCGCAUCCUGGGGCUGUAGUCGGUCCCAAGGGUUGGGCUGUUCGCCCAUUAAAGCGGUACGCGAGCUGGGUUCAGAACGUCGUGAGACAGUUCGGUCCCUAUCCGUCGUGGGCGUAGGAAAUUUGAGAGGAGCUGUCCUUAGUACGAGAGGACCGGGAUGGACAUACCUCUGGUGUACCAGUUGUCGUGCCAACGGCAUAGCUGGGUAGCUAUGUAUGGACGGGAUAAGUGCUGAAAGCAUCUAAGCAUGAAGCCCCCCUCAAGAUGAGAUUUCCCAACUUCGGUUAUAAGAUCCCUCGAAGAUGACGAGGUUAAUAGGUUCGAGGUGGAAGCGUGGUGACACGUGGAGCUGACGAAUACUAAUCGAUCGAAGACUUAAUC
rnacentral:rRNA from 1 species